rnacentral:misc_RNA from 1 species
AAGUCGUAACAAGGUUUCCGUAGGUGAACCUGCGGAAGGAUCAUUCGUGUAAUUUUAAAAAUAAUAUUAUAUGUUGUGUGUUUUAUACGCAUAUAUAUAUUAUUAUAAAAAAACCUUUGUGAACCGUAAUGACCUAGUAGAAAAAGCAGGCAUUACAAACAGUCUGACUGGGUGUGUUUUAUACAAACGAAUCAUGUUACAGAAUGUCACUACCAUGCUUUGAAGCAUAUAAUACAACUUUCAACAACGGAUCUCUUGGCUCUC